rnacentral:rRNA from 1 species
AACGAACGCUGGCGGCAGGCCUAACACAUGCAAGUCGAACGCAUCCUUCGGGGUGAGUGGCGCACGGGUGAGUAACACGUGGGAAUGUACCCUUUGGUUCGGAAUAACGUUUGGAAACGAACGCUAAUACCGGAUGAGCCCUACGGGGGAAAGAUUUAUCGCCAAAGGAGCAGCCCGCGUCUGAUUAGCUAGUUGGUGGGGUAAAGGCCUACCAAGGCGACGAUCGGUAGCUGGUCUGAGAGGAUGAUCAGCCACACUGGGACUGAGACACGGCCCAGACUCCUACGGGAGGCAGCAGUGGGGAAUAUUGGACAAUGGGCGCAAGCCUGAUCCAGCCAUGCCGCGUGAGUGAUGAAGGCCUUCGGGUUGUAAAGCUCUUUCGCACGCGGCGAUGAUGACGGUAGCGUGAGAAGAAGCCCCGGCUAACUUCGUGCCAGCAGCCGCCGUAA